AACACUCAAAAGCACCACACACAGACACCAAGCACAAACACCACUCGCUAACUAUAAAAACCACAGCCAGAAACGGAGCGCACACACAACACGUCCACUCGCCACCACAGCUACUCUAUCUCUCCACAUCUUGAAUAACUGUACAGAUGGGCAGGGGAGUGCAUCACAAGUACAAUAAGAAAUAUGAUAAAUUAACCUCAUCAAUCAUAAUAUUCAAAAAGUAAAUUGCCGAGAUGAGGUGAUAGCUGAUUUGAAUGUCUGAAGACUGGGAUGUGUAACAACAGACUCAGGGAGGGAAUUCCAGUGGCCAGUAUUACAUAUUGUGAAUGAACGUCUCCUAAUAUCUAGGUUGGUGUGUACAUGUGCAAGCUUGUGUUGAUGGCCUCUGGUGGUGUUAGAAGUUGGGUGGAAGAAAAAGUCAUUAAAAUAUAAGAAGGAUUUUCCAUUUACAAUUUGUCACAUCUUAAUAAUGCCAUGACGUAAUAGCCUCCCUUUAACAGAAAAUAAAUUCAAAACUUUUAGGCGAUCAUAAUGGCAACCAGAUCAUAACAACCACCAGUGGCAAGUCUUGGAGAAUUAAAGCACAAUAAGUAGGACAACACUGUGGGGAAAUGGGGAGAGAACUCUUACCUCUCACUCUCUCAACAUAGUUUGUCAAGAUCAAAUCAAAUACAUUACUGGAUGAAUUUAUGAUUGGUUCAGCAAUCAACUGGGUUAAUCCCAACAAGAAUCUUUCAUCCAGCUGAGACAAAUGCAUACCAGUGAUGAAGUUUGUGGUGGAGCAUGUGAGCAGAUUGGGGAUGGCUAGGCAGGCUGGGUGGUCUCUGCAGCCAGCCUGAUAGUAUGCACACCACUCCACUCUCCCUUAUUCCCACCAAGGGAGGCAGUGCACCACAUCUCAUGCAGGACGUACUGCACCGGUGGCGAGGCGUCGAGGAAGCACCUCUUUGUGUUCCUGCCCACCACUUUACUGAACACAUGAAGGUGCUCCAGAGUUUCAAGAAGGGUGGCACACACACUUUGCUGCACUACAAGCUUUUGGAGGUCCAGCGGCACACUGCACACUUCUUUCCUAAACGUGUGUGCAGAGUGCAAGACAGAGUGGCAAGGAUGGAGGAUGCAUCAACAUUCACAGCAUCAUUGGUUCAUGCUUUUUAUUUUUUUUGUGUGUGUGUGUGUGGAAAGAAGUGCACACAGUUUUAACCGAAGGAUUAUAUGUGUGUGUGUGUGUGUGUGUGUGUGUGGGCAGCUUUAUGGGCAAGUGUGCCAGUCAUUCCUUGAAUUCAAUGUUUUUCAUUUAGGGAAAAAUUGUUGUAUAUAAUUAGGUUUAUAGACAUUUUUGAGUGGGAAUGUUUAGACUGAUUAAAUAGUAAGUUUCUCUACUUUGUAGAGCUUUGCUGUUACUGUUCUGUGUAAGGUUUCAAGGGCCGUAUUCUACAAACCAUCAUAGCUAGUGAUGUGAUUGUAGACAAAAUGGUGCAUUUUAGACACAAGUCCCUCAAUGACAGGCUCUCACCUUGUGACUCGUCAUAAGUUCAGUCUGUUGCAGCGCUGCCAACCACUGUCUUAAAACUCUUCUCAGCAUGGUGAGAGCUUGUUUUAUGUACCAUGGCAUGAUCCCCGACAGUUUUUGAUAUUAAUUAAUGAUAAAUAUCUGUAAUGAUGGCUAAAUAAUGUCCUUUGAUGGAGUAAUUUAUCAUUAUAGAUAACUGCCAAGAGGGUGCGAUCAGUUUUCCAAAAACUCAAACAAACCUUGCUCUGAGUGGCUUGCAUGUGUCAUGUGUCAUGUGUCAGGCUGUUGGGCAUAAUCUUAUGUUUGUCAUGUUUCCUUUGUUUGGAUACACAGUCUUACUAUGAUGUCAAAAUAAUUAGAAUUGUAGAAAUUAUGUCAAGGAUCUAUUUCUUUGUAUACUUAUAUAAAGUUGACAAGUGAUGAGCCCAAAGACCAGCAGUGGAGUGACGGUCAGGCAUUCAGUGAGACCUGAGGCUGACUGUGUAGAAUACGGCCCCAGAAGGACGGUCUGUGUUUUGUGUAUUUAUGGUGACAAUGUAGCGUUGCAAGGGACAACAUGCUGUUUGAGACCAAAGCCAUUGUGUAAGAAAUCAUUGUACAGAGUUGAUAGUUCCUCCUAGACUUUGCAAUGAAAUUGCUGUCAAAAUACUAUUAUGUUAUUGUAUUCAUUUUUUUAAUGUUAUAUUAGACAAAUGUAUGGAUGACCUGUUCAUACAGAGACUGCUGCCAUGUAUGUGCAGGCCUCAUGGUCCAUCUUGCAACUUUCCUAAUUUUUUUCUCUAAUACUUUGUAAGGUGAAAAUAUUCCCAGACUAAAAAAUAUAAAAUUGUCCCAAGUUAGAAAUUGCAGAAAUUAUUCUAAGUUGAAAUAUAAAAAUUGUUGUAUGUUGCAAGUUGUAAAAUUUCUGUUGAAAAUUGUUAAAAUUUUCCUAGCUGUUCAAAUUCUAGUGUUGCUUUGUAAAAAUAUCCUAGCUGUUCAAAUUCUAGUGUUGCUUUGUAAAAUGUUCUAAGUCGAAAGUUUUGGUAGAGUUUUCAUCUGAUUUGUGUAAAAUUUUCUAGUUGAAAUUUGUAGUUUCCUAGCUGUACAAAAUUUUCUAAGUCGAAAGUUUUGGUAGAGUUUUCAUCAGAUUUGUGUAAAAAUUUUCUAGUUGAAAUUUGUAGUUUUCUAGCUGUACAAAUUCUGGUGUUACACUGUAAAAUUUUUCUAAGUUGAAAGUUUUGGUGGAGUUUUCAGAGUUGUGUAAAAAUGUGUUGAUUGAAUAAAAGUGAAGGAAGGGAGA